GACCUAAAAAAUCCGUCGACUUUAGAAAUCGUGAGGGUUCAAGUCCCUCUAUCCCCA
rnacentral:tRNA from 1 species